UACGGAGGGUGCAAGCGUUAAUCGGAAUUACUGGGCGUAAAGAGCACGUAGGUGGCGUCUUAAGUCGGGUGUGAAAGUCCCGGGCUCAACCUGGGACUUGCAGUCGAGACUGCAGUGCUAGAGUACGGAAGAGGAGGGCGGAAUUCCUGGUGUAGCGGUGAAAUGCGUAGAUAUCGGGAGGAACACCAGUGGCGAAGGCGGACCUCGGGGCCAGUACUGACGAUGAAGUGCGAAAGCGUGGGGAGCAAACAGG
rnacentral:rRNA from 1 species